rnacentral:lncRNA from 7 species
UUCUCUUGAAAAAGCCCCAAUUUAACCCAAAAAUCACGCCUUUUCUUUGCAAAUAUCCCCCACUUAACACAAAAUCAUGCUGUUCUCUAUGAAAAUCCCCAUCUAAAAAGAAAAUCAUGCAUUUUCGCUUGGAAAAUCCCCCAUUUAAGUGAAAAUCACGCAUUUUGGCUUUGAAAACCCCCAAUUUAACCCAAAAUGAAUUAUUUUCUCUUCGAAAUUCCCCAUUUAACGCGAAAAUCACACAUUUUCCCUUCAAAAAUACCCCUUUAAACAAAACUCACACCAUUUUCUCUAUGAGAAUCCCUGAUUUAAACUGAAAAUCACGCACAUUCUCUUCAAAAAUAGCUGUUUAACCCCGAAAAUCACGCGUUUUCUCUGCUAGAAUCACCCUUAACCCGAAAAUCAUGCACUGUCUCUUCAACAAUCCCCCAUUUAACCCCAAAAUCAUGCAUUAUCUCUUCAAAAAUACCCCAUUUAAACAAAAAUCACACAUUUUCUCUUCAAAAAUCCCCCUUUAUCCCCAAAAUCACACAAUUUCUCUUGCAAAGUCCCCCAUUCUACCCGAAAAUCUUGCCUUUUGUCUUGGAAAAUCCCGCAUUUACCCCAAAAUCAUGCAUUAUCUCUUCAAAAAUCCCCCUUUUAUCCCAAAAAUCACACAAUUUCUCUUGCAAAGUCCCCCAUUCUACCCGAAAAUCUUGCCUUUUCUCUUGGAAAAUCCUGCAUUUACCCCAAAAUCAUGCAUUAUCUCUUCAAAAAUACCCCAUUAUCCCCAAAUUCACACAUUUUCUCGUGGAAAAUCCCCCAUUUAACGUGAAAAUCACACUUCUGCUCUUCAAAAAUCCCCCGUUUGACCCCAAAAUCAAACUUUUUGCUACAAGAGUCCCCCAUGUAUCCAAAAAAUCGCC